rnacentral:rRNA from 1 species
GAUGAACGCUGGCGGCGUGCCUAAUACAUGCAAGUCGAGCGAACGGACGAGAAGCUUGCUUCUCUGAUGUUAGCGGCGGACGGGUGAGUAACACGUGGAUAACCUACCUAUAAGACUGGGAUAACUUCGGGAAACCGGAGCUAAUACCGGAUGAUAUUUUGAACCGCAUGGUUCAAAAGUGAAAGACGGUCUUGCUGUCACUUAUAGAUGGAUCCGCGCUGCAUUAGCUAGUUGGUAAGGUAACGGCUUACCAAGGCAACGAUGCAUAGCCGACCUGAGAGGGUGAUUGGCCACACUGGAACUGAGGCACGGUCCAGACUCCUACGGGAGGCAGCAGUAGGGAAUCUUCCGCGAUGGGCGAAAGCCUGACGGAGCAACGCCGCGUGAGUGAUGAAGGUCUUCGGAUCGUAAAACUCUGUUAUUAGGGAAGAACAUAUGUGUAAGUAACUGUGCACAUCUUGACGGUACCUAAUCAGAAAGCCACGGCUAGCUACGUG